UUAAAAUAUACUUUGUCUUUUCCACGGGUUGGGCCAUCUGGUGCAAUGUACCGGGUGUGUGUUGGUGGUGGUGGGAGGAGAGGACGGGUGGAUGGUGGAGGUGGUCUUUGUGGUCUGAGUGGUUGUGUGUGUGGGUGUGUUGGUGUGGGUCUGGUGUGUUCUGUGGUUUGAUAUGUGUGUGUGGGUCUAUUGUGGUGAUGGUGGGUGUGUGGGGGUCUAUACUGAAGGCUGGGGGGUCUAUAACGGGAUGUAGGUGUGGGAGGUAGCGUGCGUCUGUUGUGUGCGUGGUAGUGUGGCUGUGUGGUGUUGGUGUGAUUGGUGUAGGUAGGCCUCCAGGGUGAAGACACUUCAAUAAAGAUAGAUCUAUUUCAAAAGGGUGGAGCUGUGAGGGGGCUCUGACCUGCUGACGGAGAGGGUGGUGGUCCCGUGGUGGGUAGCCUGAGAGGGUGGUGGUCCCGUGGUGGGUAGAGGAGAGGGUGGUGGUCCCGUGGUGGGUAGAGGAGAGGGUGGUGGUCCCGUGGUGGGUAG
ensembl:lncRNA